rnacentral:rRNA from 1 species
GGAUCCAGACUUUGAUCCUGGCUCAGGACGAACGCUGGCGGCGUGCCUAACACAUGCAAGUCGAACGAAGCACUGCGGAAAGAGACUUCGGUCAAUGGAAGCUUUGACUUAGUGGCGGACGGGUGAGUAACGCGUGAGGAACCUGCCUUUCAGUGGGGGACAACAGUUGGAAACGACUGCUAAUACCGCAUAAUGUGUUUUGGGGGCAUCCCCGGAACACCAAAGAUUUAUUGCUGAAAGAUGGCCUCGCGUCUGAUUAGAUAGUUGGUGGGGUAACGGCCUACCAAGUCGACGAUCAGUAGCCGGACUGAGAGGUUGAACGGCCACAUUGGGACUGAGAUACGGCCCAGACUCCUACGGGAGGCAGCAGUGGGGAAUAUUGGGCAAUGGGGGAAACCCUGACCCAGCAACGCCGCGUGAAGGAAGAAGGCUUUCGGGUUGUAAACUUCUUUUACCAGGGACGAAGGACGUGACGGUACCUGGAGAAAAAGCCACGGCUAACUACGUGCCAGCAGCCGCGGUAAUACGUAGGUGGCAAGCGUUGUCCGGAUUUACUGGGUGUAAAGGGCGUGUAGGCGGGAGAGCAAGUCAGAAGUGAAAUCUAUGGGCUUAACCCAUAAACUGCUUUUGAAACUGUUCUUCUUGAGUAUCGGAGAGGCAGGCGGAAUUCCUAGUGUAGCGGUGAAAUGCGUAGAUAUUAGGAGGAACACCAGUGGCGAAGGCGGCCUGCUGGACGACAACUGACGCUGAGGCGCGAAAGCGUG